rnacentral:lncRNA from 1 species
AAAAAGCCUCCAAGAAGAAGAAGUCCUCCUUCAAACGCUUCCUGGAGCUGACAUUCAGGAAGAAGACAGAGAGCAAGGUGCACGUGGACAUGAGUCUGUCGUCUUCCAGGUCCUCCUCCGAGUCCAGCUACCAUGGUCCAGCCAGGGUCCUGGAACUUGACCGCAGAAGCCUCAGCAACUCACCCCAGCUCAAGUGCCACACAGGAAAGCUCCGGGCCUCUGACUCUCCGGCCUCCCUCAUCUUCUACAGGGACAGCAAGAGGAAAGGCGUCCCCUUCAGCAGGACAGUGUCCAGAGUGGAGUCCUUCGAAGACCGCUCCCGGCCGCCAUUUCUGCCUCUGCCCCUCACCAAGCCACGGUCCAUCUCAUUUCCCAAUGCUGACACUUCAGACUAUGAGAACAUUCCAGCC